rnacentral:rRNA from 1 species
UGCAAGUCGAGCGGAGUGAUGGUGCUUGCACUAUCACUUAGCGGCGGACGGGUGAGUAAUGCUUAGGAAUCUGCCUAUUAGUGGGGGACAACAUUUCGAAAGGAAUGCUAAUACCGCAUACGUCCUACGGGAGAAAGCAGGGGAUCUUCGGACCUUGCGCUAAUAGAUGAGCCUAAGUCGGAUUAGCUAGUUGGUGGGGUAAAGGCCUACCAAGGCGACGAUCUGUAGCGGGUCUGAGAGGAUGAUCCGCCACACUGGGACUGAGACACGGCCCAGACUCCUACGGGAGGCAGCAGUGGGGAAUAUUGGACAAUGGGCGGAAGCCUGAUCCAGCCAUGCCGCGUGUGUGAAGAAGGCCUUAUGGUUGUAAAGCACUUUAAGCGAGGAGGAGGCUACUUUAGUUAAUACCUAGAGAUAGUGGACGUUACUCGCAGAAUAAGCACCGGCUAACUCUGUGCCAGCAGCCGCGGUAAUACAGAGGGUGCAAGCGUUAAUCGGAUUUACUGGGCGUAAAGCGCGCGUAGGCGGCUAAUUAAGUCAAAUGUGAAAUCCCCGAGCUUAACUUGGGAAUUGCAUUCGAUACUGGUUAGCUAGAGUGUGGGAGAGGAUGGUAGAAUUCCAGGUGUAGCGGUGAAAUGCGUAGAGAUCUGGAGGAAUACCGAUGGCGAAGGCAGCCAUCUGGCCUAACACUGACGCUGAGGUGCGAAAGCAUGGGGAGCAAACAGGAUUAGAUACCCUGGUAGUCCAUGCCGUAAACGAUGUCUACUAGCCGUUGGGGCCUUUGAGGCUUUAGUGGCGCAGCUAACGCGAUAAGUAGACCGCCUGGGGGAGUACGGUCGCAAGACUAAAACUCAAAUGAAUUGACGGGGGCCCGCACAAGCGGUGGAAGCAUGUGGUUUAAUUCGAUGCAACGCGAAAACCUUACCUGGCCUUGACAUAGUAAGAACUUUCCAGAAUGGAUUGGUGCCUUUCGGGAACUUACAUACAGGUGCUGCAUGGCUGUCGUCAGCUCGUG